GGGCCCCACAGCAUCUUGCUUCCAGCUCUUUGGGAAGCUAAGAAACAACUCGCUCUGCACAGUGCUCUUACAGCCUACCGGGAACAUCUCUUCCAAAGGCCUGUGAAACGCAGUUUCUUUGCAGGCCUGAUGUGGCUGAAGUAGGACUUCUGCUCUGGGUGUGCUACUUUGCCCUAGAUCUGAAAGGCACAACGUGCAGGCUUCUUUCCAAAGGGCGAUUUGGGCCCAACAGCAUCUUGCUUCCAGCUCUUUGGGAAGCUAAGAAACAACUCGCUCUGCACAGUGCUCUUACAGCCUCCCGGGAACAUCUCUUCCAAAGGCCUGUGAAACGCAGUUUCUUUGCAGGCCUGAUCUGGCUGAAGUAGGACUUCUGCUCUGGGUGUGCUACAUUGCCCUAGAGCUGAAAGGCACACCGUGCAGGCUUCUUUCCAAAGGGCGAGUUGGGCCCCACAGCAUCUUGCUUCCAGCUCUUUGGGAAGCUAAGAAACAACUCGCUCUGCACAGUGCUCUUACAAACUACCGGGAACUUCUCUUCCAAAGGCCUGUGAAACGCAGUUUCUUUGCAGGCCUGAUCUGGCUGAAGUAGGACUUCUGCUCUGGGUGUGCUACUUUGCCCUAGAGCUGAAAGGCACAACGUGCAGGCUUCUUUCCAAAGGGCGAGUUGGGCCCCACAGCAUCUUGCUUCCAGCUCUUUGGGAAGCUAAGAAACAACUCGCUGUGCACAGUGCUCUUACAGCCUACCGGGAACAUCUCUCCCAAAGGCCUGUGAAACGCAGUUUCUUUGCAGGCCUGAUCUGGCUGAAGUAGGACUUCUGCUCUGGGAGUGCUACACUGCCCUAGAGCUGAAAGGAACACCGUGCAGGCUUCUUUCCAAAGGGCGAGUUGGGCCCCACAGCAUCUUGCUUCCAGCUCUUUGGGAAGCUAAGAAACAACUCGCUCUGCACAGUGCUCUUACAGCCUACCGGGAACAUCUCUUCCAAAGGCCUGUGAAACGCAGUUUCUUUGCAGGCCUGAUCUGGCUGAAGUAGGACUUCUGCUCUGGGUGUGCUACUUUGCCCUAGAGCUGAAAGGCACACCGUGCAGGCUUCUUUCCAAAGGGCGAGUUGGGCCCCACAGCAUCUUGCUUCCAGCUCUUUGGGAAGCUAAGAAACAACUCGCUCUGCACAGUGCUCUUACAGCCUACCGGGAACAUCUCUUCCAAAGGCCUGUGAAACGCAGUUUCUUUGCAGGCCUGAUCUGGCUGAAGUAGGACUUCUGCUCUGGGUGUGCUACAUUGCCCUAGAGCUGAAAGGCACAACGUGCAGGCUUCUUUCCAAAGGGCGAGUUGGGCCCCACAGCAUCUUGCUUCCAGCUCUUUGGGAAGCUAAGAAACAACUCGCUCUGCACAGUGCUCUUACAGCCUACCGGGAACAUCUCUUCCAAAGGCCUGUGAAACGCAGUUUCUUUGCAGGCCUGAUCUGGCUGAAGUAGGACUUCUGCUCUGGGUGUGCUACUUUGCCCUAGAGCUGAAAGGCACAACGUGCAGGCUUCUUUCCAAAGGGCGAGUUGGGCCCCACAGCAUCUUGCUUCCAGCUCUUUGGGAAGCUAAGAAACAACUCGCUCUGCACAGUGCUCUUACAGCCUACCGGGAACAUCACUUCCAAAUGCCUGUGAAACGCAGUCUCUUUGCAGGCCUCAUCUGGCUAAAGUAGGACUUCUGCUCUGGGUGUGCUACUUUGCCCUAGAGCUGAAAGGCACACCGUGCAGGCUUCUUUCCAAAGGGCGUGUUGGGCCCCACAGCAUCUUGCUUCCAGCUCUUUGGGAAGCUAAGAAACAACUCGCUCUGCUCAGUGCUCUUACAGCCUACCGGGAACAUCUCUUCCAAAGGCCUGUGAAACGCAGUUUCUUUGCAGGCCUGAUCUGGCUGAAGUAGGACUUCUGCUCUGGGUGUGCUACAUUGCCCUAGAGCUGAAAGGCACAACGUGCAGGCUUCUUUCCAAAGGGCGAGUUGGGCCCCACAGCAUCUUGCUUCCAGCUCUUUGGGAAGCUAAGAAACAACUCGCUCUGCACAGUGCUCUUACAGCCUACCGGGAACAUCUCUUCCAAAGCCCUGUGAAACGCAGUUUCUUUGCAGGCCUGAUCUGGCUGAAGUAGGACUUCUGCUCUGGGUGUGCUACUUUGCCCUAGAGCUGAAAGGCACAACGUGCAGGCUUCUUUCCAAAGGGAGAGUUGGGCCCCACAGCAUCUUGCUUCCAGCUCUUUGGGAAGCUAAGAAACAACUCGACCUGCUCAGUG
ensembl:lncRNA